CUCCUGGCUGGAUACCAGAAAGCCUCCCGGUCGGUUCCCGGGAUCGUAAUUCGGCGUUCUCCUCUCAGGCCUGAUGAGAGGGUGGUCGGGGCUGCGGGGGAGGGUCACGGCUCCAGCAGAAGGAAGGUUGCUCCUUAGCAUGGAGUUGGUGGACAAGGCAGCUCUCUAGUGGCCUGCUUUUGAAGACCAUGUAUGCAAUCCCUUUUCUUGGAAGCUUGUGCAAAACCAGCCUGAGGUCUAAGAGUGAUGCAUUUAUGUAUACAGAUCAUGAUAGAGCACAAUGAAUACAAAGUCUUACAGAAGUUGCCUGAGAGGUAAGGAGUUGGGGAAUCUCUGACUUUCACUUACUCCCAAAGCGAAGCUCUCCUGCAGAAGUCCUGCCCAACCACGGACAGGGCAAAGUUUGCCUCUAGAGCAAGCUGCAGGUUUUUGCAGAAUAAUAUUAAAAGAGAGGAAAAAUCCUGGAGGGUAACUGAUCAUCAUUGUAUCUCACAGAACUGAGGAGGAAACCACUGCCUGCACUGGCAUAGGCUACCCCAAAACAUGUAAAGAUAAUAUACUUUUACAGAAGAGGGGCAUCUUCCCACCACAUUAAUUUUGUGGUAUAGGGAUAUGGACAAAAAGAAAUAUGCAGUAUUGUCUUAAUUUUCACAUGCUGCAACCAGUUUUAGAUCAAAAAGCAAUGUGCAUUGUGAGUUAUAAUGGAUUUCCAUAAAAAGCUGUUAAGUGUUUUCAGAAGAAAGUCUCUGUGUCUAGGUAUCAGACACCUACUAAAACAGCCAAUUUUUACACUUUACAACAGGUCAGUAUGUUUCUUUGAAACUUGUAAGAGUUAAGUGUACAUUACAAGCAGUAAUAGAGCUCAUGAUUAACAAACCAUAGUGCUGUAAUAUUGACUAAUAUGAGCAGUAGCAGUCUGUGUUCAUCUUCUGCACCCUGAGAAUGUUGCAAAAGGUAAAACUGAACCUUCUAUAGCAUUUCAAAUCUGCCCAUUUAUACAUCUGAGAUGAAAAAAAUCAUUAAAAAAAUUGCACAAGUCAAGAUGCAGUACACAAACAUUUAAAAAAUUUUUUUUGGCUACACUAUACAUAUACAUUACUUGCUGCCACAUAUACA